GAAUAGCUUUUGAUUUUACCUGGUUAUAUUUGUUAGCUUUAUCAUUUCUGAAGCCUUUUAAGACAUCCUAAUAUUUUACUUAGUAUGUAUCUGAUUUUCAGUCAGUAGACAUAGGAAGCAGAUUAAUGGCUUUACAGAUUACAACAGUUUCAUGGUAACCAGCAAUCUAGACAUCUGGGUCAUCUUUUUUGAAAAUGUAAAUUUUGGUUUGCAUGGCUAGCAGUUGCUUAGGGUGAUGAAUCAGUUAAUUGAAGGAUUGAUAUUCUA
rnacentral:lncRNA from 1 species